rnacentral:lncRNA from 1 species
AGGGGCGGAGAGGAGGAAAUUAGCGAAAGGUUCUUUUCACCUCAGUACUUAAGUUGAGUGGGGUUUUCUUCUUUUUGCCCUUUUUUUUUUUUUUUUUUUCUCUUUUAAUUUCUUUGGUUUGAGUGAAAACAAAAAAGGCAAACAGAAAACUGCAAGGCUUCUGUUUGCUUCUCUGACUGCCUGCCAUUGAUAAACAAGUACUUUUCCUUAACUUUCCCCCUUUAGCCCCGAACAUUAUACUUAGUUCCUUUCCCAAAGGAAACUGAAAGUGCUGCUGACCCCACCGGAGAAGGAAAAGGCCAAAGGUUUGACGAACACCUCAUCUCCGUGGCUGCUUUCAGCGAGAUUUCAGCUUAGAGAAGAGAAGACUCCAAGGAGAUCUGCUUUCAGGCUGGAGAAGAGAAAACUCUGGGGAGACCUUACAGCAGCUUUGCAGUAUCUGAAGGGUGCCUACAAGAAAGCUGGAGAGGGACUUUUUACAAGGGCAUGUGGUGAUAGGAUGAGAUAUAAUGGCUUCAAAUUGGAAGAGGGUAGAUUUAGAUUAGAUAUUAGGAAGACAUUUUUCACUAUGGGGGUAGGGAGGCACUGGAACAGGCUGCCAAGAGAAGCUGUGGAUGCCCCAUCCCUGGAAGUGUUGAAGCCCAGGCUGGAUGGGGCUUUGAGUGACCUGGUCUGGUCCUGCAGGGGGCAGGGGGGUUGGAACUCAAUGAUCUUUAAGAUCCCUUCCAACUCUAACCAUUCUAUGAUUCUAUGAGUCUAAGAUUUAUUUGUAUGCCCACAGUGCUAAGUGGGUAUACUGGGCCGGACAUGCCUGUUCUGCUCCCGUUUCUAUUCGUCUGUGCCUGUUCUGCUCACCACUAUGGGAACACAAAAUGGUUCACAGCAGCAUAACAUGUGUUGCUUGCGUAAUGCUUCUGAGUGUUCAUGUAAGAAUGAACAUUCAUUUAGUAAUAUUUUUUCAUAUUUUAGUUGUAAAAGGAGAAAGACAUGGGCUGUAGAGUAUUGAGUAGAAGAGCUUUGACGGUUGGUUCCCUGCUUUGUCUAAUUUAUAUUUGAGGAAACCUCAAAGUGCAAAGCAGAGGAACUGGUAUCUUUCAACCUGUCCAACUCCCUGCUGUAAAAUGAAAUGAGCUGGACUUGGAUUUAACUACAGAGGUUUCAAAAGGAUAGACUGGCAGUCAGGGAUUACCAAGAUUUCUUUAUAAUCCUGGAUAGUCCCCUUUUUCCUGGGUGCAGAAGUGGGUGCCUUUACAUGUGGUCCUAGGCUGCCCUGAAAGAAACAAGCCUGGGAGUCUUGUGGUAGCUCAGCUGCUUGGGCGGAUGCACCAGUCAAGUUUUUCUGUGGUUCAGCUUUUGCACUGCGUUAAAUAGAUAUAGAAUAAAAUAACAUAGAUAUAGAACA